CCUACGGUGAGCAGCAGUGAGGAAUAUUGGUCAAUGGCCGAGAGGCUGAACCAGCCAAGUCGCGUGAGGGAAGAAUGUCCUAUUGAUUGUAAACCUCUUUUGUCAGGGAGCAAAGUCACCCACGUGUGGGGGUUGGAGAGUACCUGAAGAAAAAGCAUCGGCUAACUCCGUGCCAGCAGCCGCGGUAAUACGGAGGAUGCGAUCGUUAUCCGGAUUUAUUGGGUUUAAAGGGUGCGUAGGCGGGUUAUCAAGUAAGCGGUAAAAUCGUGGAGCUCAACUCCAUCCAGCCGUUGAAACUGAUGUUCUUGAGUGGGCGAGAAGUAUGCGGAAUGCGUGGUGUAGCGGUGAAAGGCAUAGAUAUCACGCAGAACUCCGAUUGCGAAGGCAGCAUACCGGCGCCCGACUGACGCUGAAGCACGAAAGCGUGGGUAUCGAACAGGAUUAGAUACCCUGGUAGUC
rnacentral:rRNA from 1 species